rnacentral:rRNA from 1 species
GACGAACGCUGGCGGCGUGCCUAAUACAUGCAAGUAGAACGCUGAAGAGAGGAGCUUGCUCUUCUUGGAUGAGUUGCGAACGGGUGAGUAACGCGUAGGUAACCUGCCUUGUGGCGGGGGAUAACUAUUGGAAACGAUAGCUAAUACCGCAUAACAAUGGAUGACACAUGUCAUUUAUUUGAAAGGGGCAAUUGCUCCACUACAAGAUGGACCUGCGUUGUAUUAGCUAGUGGGUGAGGUAAUGGCUCACCUAGGCGACGAUACAUAACCGACCUGAGAGGGUGAUCAGCCACACUGGGACUGGGACACGGCCCAGACUCCUACGGGAGGCAGCAGUAGGGGAUCUUCGGCAAUGGGGGCAACCCUGACCGGGCAACGCCGCGUGAGUGAAGAAGGUUUUCGGAUCGUAAAGCUCUGUUGUAAGUCAAGAACGGGUGUGAGAGUGGAAAGUUCACACUGUGACGGUAGCUUACCAGAAAGGGACGGCUAACUACGUG